GACGAACGCGGCGGCGUGCUUAACACAUGCAAGUCGAACGAAGAGCGAUGGAAGCUUGCUUCUAUCAAUCUUAGUGGCGAACGGGUGAGUAACGCGUAAUCAACCUGCCCUUCAGAGGGGGACAACAGUUGGAAACGACUGCUAAUACCGCAUACGAUCUAAUCUCGGCAUCGAGGAUGGAUGAAAGGUGGCCUCUACAUGUAAGCUAUCACUGAAGGAGGGGAUUGCGUCUGAUUAGCUAGUUGGAGGGGUAACGGCCCACCAAGGCGAUGAUCAGUAGCCGGUCUGAGAGGAUGAACGGCCACAUUGGGACUGAGACACGGCCCAGACUCCUACGGGAGGCAGCAGUGGGGAAUCUUCCGCAAUGGACGAAAGUCUGACGGAGCAACGCCGCGUGAGUGAUGACGGCCUUCGGGUUGUAAAGCUCUGUUAAUCGGGACGAAAGGCCUUCUUGCGAAUAGUUAGAAGGAUUGACGGACCGAAUAGAAAGCCACGCAU
rnacentral:rRNA from 1 species